CGGGGGGUAGCGUAGUCCGGUUAGCGCGCCUGCUUUGGGAGCAGGAGGUCGGGAGUUCGAAUCUCUCCACCCCGA
rnacentral:tRNA from 1 species